rnacentral:rRNA from 2 species
UAGGGAAUCUUCGGCAAUGGACGAAAGUCUGACCGAGCAACGCCGCGUGAGUGAAGAAGGUUUUCGGAUCGUAAAACUCUGUUGUUAGAGAAGAACAAGGACGUUAGUAACUGAACGUCCCCUGACGGUAUCUAACCAGAAAGCCACGGCUAACUACGUGCCAGCAGCCGCGGUAAUAUGUAGGUGGCAAGCGUUGUCCGGAUUUAUUGGGCGUAAAGCGAGCGCAGGCGGUUUCUUAAGUCUGAUGUGAAAGCCCCCGGCUCAACCGGGGAGGGUCAUUGGAAACUGGGAGACUUGAGUGCAGAAGAGGAGAGUGGAAUUCCAUGUGUAGCGGUGAAAUGCGUAGAUAUAUGGAGGAACACCAGUGGCGAAGGCGGCUCUCUGGUCUGUAACUGACGCUGAGGCUCGAAAGCGUGGGGAGCAAACAGG